rnacentral:rRNA from 1 species
UACAGAGGUCUCAAGCGUUGUUCGGAUUCAUUGGGCGUAAAGGGUGUGUAGGUGGCGCGCUAAGUCGGGUGUGAAAUUUCGGAGCUUAACUCCGAAACUGCAUUCGAUACUGCCGUGCUUGAGGACUGGAGAGGAGACUGGAAUUACGGUGUAGCGGUGAAAUGCGUAGAUAUCGUAAGGAAGACCAGUGGCGAAGGCGGGUCUCUGGACAGUUCCUGACGCUGAGGCACGAAGGUCAGGGGAGCAAACGGG